GAUUAUCAACUUCUUGAUUCUUUCUUUAUAUAGCACAAAUUAUAAAUGUGAAUCUAUGCCUUCUUUGAUGCAACUCUUAUUUAUUAAUGGCAGAACUUGAGAAACAUAUCCCGGAUCUUCACGUCCUAAUCUCCACUCCUUUCCACCCUGCUUAUGUGACUGCUGAAAGAAUCAAGAAAGCCAAGAACCUCAAGCUUCUCCUCACGGCUGGUAUUGGUUCAGAUCACAUUGAUCUCCAGGCAGCUGCAGCUGCUGGCCUGACGGUUGCUGAAGUCACGGGAAGCAACGUGGUCUCAGUAGCCGAAGAUGAGCUCAUGAGAAUCCUCAUCCUCAUGCGCAACUUCGUACCAGGGUACAACCAGGUUGUCAAAGGCGAGUGGAACGUCGCGGGCAUUGCAUACAGAGCUUAUGAUCUUGAAGGGAAGACGAUCGGAACUGUGGGAGCUGGAAGAAUCGGAAAGCUUUUGCUGCAGCGGUUGAAACCAUUCGGGUGCAAUUUAUUGUACCAUGACAGACUUCAGAUGGCACCAGAGCUGGAGAAAGAGAUUGGAGCUAAGUUCGUUGAGGAUCUGAAUGAAAUGCUCCCUAAAUGUG
rnacentral:lncRNA from 1 species